UGCCCCUUGGCCCAGUUGGUGAAGGCGCACGACUGUUAUGAAUUGGACCGCUAACAUUUCAUCGUGAGAUCGCAAGUUCGAACCUUGCAGGGGCAG